UACGGAGGGAGCUAGCGUUGUUCGGAAUUACUGGGCGUAAAGCGCACGUAGGCGGCUUUGUAAGUUAGAGGUGAAAGCCCGGGGCUCAACCCCGGAAUUGCCUUUAAGACUGCAUCGCUUGAAUCCAGGAGAGGUGAGUGGAAUUCCGAGUGUAGAGGUGAAAUUCGUAGAUAUUCGGAAGAACACCAGUGGCGAAGGCGGCUCACUGGACUGGUAUUGACGCUGAGGCACGAAAGCGUGGGGAGCAAACAGG
rnacentral:rRNA from 1 species